ensembl:lncRNA
AUGACAUCAUCUAGAUUUCAAGCGAUUCCAGUCACAGACAUAGAAGGAUCUGCUCCCUGCCAGUGGAAAUGCGAACCGUUUCUGAACAAGCAGCACUCUUGGCUGAGCACCAGCUCCAGCUCCACCAGGUGCCACCCCUGGCCACCAUGUAGACCUGCCCCUGAUGACUUGCACUACAAGAGAGCUGCAUCUUCACUUGACAAAGGAUCCCUAACACAAACAUGGUGAAGCUGUUCAGUAAAAAAAGCAAACAAGAUUAGAAAUGGUUAAGGGAUUGGGACUUACUUUGAAAUAUUACUGAACCUCUACAGUUUAUUGUAUGUUUGUAAUAUUACAUAGACUAUUCUUCAUAAUUGAAUUUAAAAAAAUAAUUUAAUUUAUAAUGCAAUAAUUUAACAUGUAUUAAAUG